AUAAGAUUUUAAUUGAAUGCUAAGAGAAUGGAAGUCCAGAAAAAAACUUUUUUUAAAUUAAAAAUUGAAGUUUUUUUAAUUUGUGCAGAAACAAUUAUUUAUAUUAAAGACAAGAAGACCCUAUGAAUUUAUUAAAUUUUUAUUUAAUAUGUAAUUACUAUUAGAAAAAUUUUGGCUGGGGCGGCUAGAAAAUAUUAUAAACUUUUUAAAAAUAAAAUGAUCCAUUAUUAAUGAUUUUAUGUUAAAUACUCUAGGGAUAACAGCGUUAUAUUUUUUGAUAGAUCAUAUUGACAAAAGAGUUUGCGACCUCGAUGUUGGAUUAGGAUACUUUUUAAUGAAGAUAUAA
rnacentral:rRNA from 1 species